CCUUCUUCUUCUUCUUCUUCCUUCGUCGAGAUCGAGAGAGAGAGAGAGAGCUUAGGUCUUGAAAAGAUGAAAGAAAAACAGAGGAGCAGGUGAAAGCAAGACGCGUGGAUAAGCGUGAGAAAGGAAUGGGUAAUCUGACGGGAAGAAGCUGAAGAUCAAAAGGAUAUCGAAGCAGGAAAGAAGAAGAAUGAGAGGAAAUCAGAGGGGACGCAGGUCUAAGCUAGAUGGAAACGGCAAGUCAAUGCUCUACCUCGGAAAGAUUUCCUGCGUAAGAUGGUGACCGGAGGAGACCAUGCCGAAGAAAGAGAAAAUAGCUCCGAAAAUCUCUGUAAACUAGAGGUGUUUUGAGCUCUGAUGGAGAAGGGCAAGAGGCUGCGAGGCCGAGAGAGAGGACAUACCAGGAGCAACAAACAGAGAGUGGAAGCAAAAGAAAAUGAGGGUACGAGGAAUUGACAGAAACCAAGGGUAUGUUUGGAUGGUCAUUAAUGUUGUAACGUUUUACUAUUUGAAGCCUUUUAUUAUAUGGUUCUUUUUUAAUUGAAUUCAAAUUAGUUAGCUUAUAUAUAUAUAGUCUUAUAUGCCUUCUCAUUUCUUAAUAAUGAGAAAAGGAAGAAAAGAAGCCCUUUGUUUUAUUUGAUAAUAAUACCGGAUUACAAUCUAAUAAGGUUAUUAAUACCCAACCAAGCUGCCUUAAUAAAUUAAAUAUGACCGCUGUACUUAAAAAAAUAAUUUACUAAUUCAAGGAUAUGCUGGUGAGAUGAAGCCUUCUUUGAUUUUGUUCCAAAUUACAUGACAGUCGAUUUCUCUGUGUUGGGUCCUUUCAUGAAAAAUCAGGUUGGUGGCAAUGUGAAGAGCUGCUUUGUUGUCAGACAGAAAACUGAUCAGCAAACAUACUUUUAUGUGAAAGUCCUGU
rnacentral:lncRNA from 1 species